GUAGUAUGCUAUAAGUAAAUUUUUCUAGAUCAACAAAAAAGAAUUCAAAUGAUGCAUAAAGUAAUAUGAAUGUAGUUUUUGUUUUAAAUAUUAAAAUUAUUUGUUAUUAAUUAUUUGAGUUAUUAUUCAGAAAUAUUGAGCUAAAUUUGAAUGAUAUUAAAUAUAUAUGUAGAAGCAAAUGGUGAUAAGCAGCUGCAACAAACCACUAAUAACUUAGAGGCAUUGGACGACACAAACAGUUCUUCUGAAACUGUUUAUUAUGGAGUGUAAAAUAAGAUAAGAUAUUACUUCUUUAUGUUUUGCACAAAUCUUAAUUUCUAGUGAUUUAAUAAUAUUAAAACUGUAACUUUUUUUUUAAACCCAAAUCUGUCCUUGUAAGUAUGUAAUAUACUUGCUUUAAUAUAAUACAAUUUUCAGUUAAAUUUGAUAUGUUUUCAGAAUAUGACAAGCACAAUGAACACAGAACCAAAACUUUGUAAUAGUUGUGAAACCAAAAAUACAAAGUUUUGGUUAAUUGUGGCAAAAUAAUAUAAUUAUGGCAAAAUUUUCAGAGAAGCUAACAAAAACAAGAUGGAAAAAAAAGUAAGAAGUUAGAACUAUAAUGACUGAGCAAUUAUGAGGAGC